CCUACGGGGGGCAGCAGUGGGGAAUAUUGGGCAAUGGAGGAAACUCUGACCCAGUAACGCCGCGUGAAUGAUGAAGGUCUUCGGAUUGUAAAGUUCUUUUCUAAGGGAAGAAGAAAGUGACGGUACCUUAGGAAUCAGCCUAGGUUAACUACGUGCCAGCAGCCGCGGUAAUACGUAGGAGGCGAGCGUUAUCCGGAAUGACUGGGCGUAAAGGGUGCGUAGGUGGUUUGGCAAGUUAGUAGGGUAACUCCAGGGCUCAAACUUGGAACAACUACUAAAACUGUUGGACUUGAGUGCAGGAGCGGCAACCGGAAUUCCUAGGGUAGCGGUGGAAUGCGAAGAUAUUAGGAGGAACACCAGUGGCGAAGGCGGGUUGCUAGACUGUAACUGACACUGAGGCACGAAAGCGUGGGGAGCAAACAGGAUUAGAUACCCUGGUAGUC
rnacentral:rRNA from 1 species